rnacentral:sRNA from 1 species
AACAGUAAUACCACAGAGUCAGAGUGCUGUGUCCUGGAGCCCAUGGGGAAUGGGAGGUAGGAGGGAGAGACCAGGACUUUUCAGAGCCAAGAGCCGGAACAAUCACUAAUCCUGUACAGUUCCCAGUUGCCUCCCACUGCUGUGAUUGGACAUUUGGAUGUAUUUUUUAUGUCUCUUAACCUUCAUUAACUGUGCCUAUGUCAAAUGGGGAACCCUGGUACAAGAUAUUUUCACCUAUGCUAAAGUAUUGGCACUGAUCGCGGUCAUCGUUGCAGGCAUUGUUAGACUUGGCCAGGGAGCCUCCACUCAUUUUGAGAAUUCCUUUGAGGGUUCAUCAUUUGCAGUGGGUGACAUUGCCCUGGCACUGUACUCAGCUCUGUUCUCCUACUCAGGCUGGGACACCCUCAACUAUGUCACUGAAGAGAUCAAGAAUCCUGAGAGGAACCUGCCCCUCUCCAUUGGCAUCUCCAUGCCCAUUGUCACCAUCAUCUAUAUCUUGACCAAUGUGGCCUAUUAUACUGUGCUAGACAUGAGAGACAUCUUGGCCAGUGAUGCUGUUGCUGUGACUUUUGCAGAUCAGAUAUUUGGAAUAUUUAACUGGAUAAUUCCACUGUCAGUUGCAUUAUCCUGUUUUGGUGGCCUCAAUGCCUCCAUUGUGGCUGCUUCUAGGCUUUUCUUUGUGGGCUCAAGAGAAGGCCAUCUCCCUGAUGCCAUCUGCAUGAUCCAUGUUGAGCGGUUCACACCAGUGCCUUCUCUGCUCUUCAAUGGUAUCAUGGCAUUGAUCUACUUGUGCGUGGAAGACAUCUUCCAGCUCAUUAACUACUACAGCUUCAGCUACUGGUUCUUUGUGGGGCUUUCUAUUGUGGGUCAGCUUUACCUGCGCUGGAAGGAGCCUGAUCGACCUCGUCCCCUCAAGCUCAGCGUUUUCUUCCCGAUUGUCUUCUGCCUCUGCACCAUCUUCCUGGUGGCUGUUCCACUUUACAGUGAUACUAUCAACUCCCUCAUCGGCAUUGCCAUUGCCCUCUCAGGCCUGCCCUUUUACUUCCUCAUCAUCAGAGUGCCAGAACAUAAGCGACCGCUUUACCUCCGAAGGAUCGUGGGGUCUGCCACAAGGUACCUCCAGGUCCUGUGUAUGUCAGUUGCUGCAGAAAUGGAUUUGGAAGAUGGAGGAGAGAUGCCCAAGCAACGGGAUCCCAAGUCUAACUAAACACCAUCUGGAAUCCUGAUGUGGAAAGCAGGGGUUUCUGGUCUACUGGCUAGAGCUAAGGAAGUUGAAAAGGAAAGCUCACUUCUUUGGAGGCACCUGUCCAGAAGCCUGGCCUAGGCAGCUUCAACCUUUGAACUUACUUUUUGAAAUGAAAAGUAAUUUAUUUGUUUUGCUACAUACUGUUCCAGACUUUUAAAGGGGACAAUAAAGGUGACUGUGGGGAGGAGCAUGGCAGGUUUGGGCUUGGUUGUUUUAGAAGCACCUGGGUGUGCCUACCUACUCCUCUUUUCUUUU